UUAUAGAUGUGAAUUUAAAAUGCUGAAUUAUUAUAAGUUAUGGGCUUUAAAUUUAAAGAAUUUGGCGGUAUUUUAGUCUAUUCAGAGGAACCUGUCCUAUAAUUGAUGAUCCACGAUUAAUAGUACCAACAUUUUUAAUUUAUAUAUCGUCGUAGUUUAAAUAUUUUAUAAGAAUAAUAAUAUUUAAAAUUUUUAAUAAAAAAGGAAAUCAGAUCAAGAUGUAGUUUAUAUGUUGGAAGAGAUGGGUUACAAUAAAUUUAUUUAUGGAUAGAUAGUUGAAAACUAUUUUGAAAAUGGAUUUGAAAGUAAUUUUAAUAUAUAAAUAGAAAAUGAUUUUAGCUCUAAAAUAUG
rnacentral:rRNA from 1 species